rnacentral:rRNA from 1 species
AGUUUGAUCCUGGCUCAGGACGAACGCUGGCGGCGUGCCUAAUACAUGCAAGUCGAACGAAACUUUCUUACACCGAAUGCUUGCAUUCACCGUAAGAAGUUGAGUGGCGGACGGGUGAGUAACACGUGGGUAACCUGCCUAAAAGAAGGGGAUAACACUUGGAAACAGGUGCUAAUACCGUAUAUCUCUAAGGAUCGCAUGAUCCUUAGAUGAAAGAUGGUUCUGCUAUCGCUUUUAGAUGGACCCGCGGCGUAUUAACUAGUUGGUGGGGUAACGGCCUACCAAGGUGAUGAUACGUAGCCGAACUGAGAGGUUGAUCGGCCACAUUGGGACUGAGACACGGCCCAAACUCCUACGGGAGGCAGCAGUAGGGAAUCUUCCACAAUGGACGCAAGUCUGAUGGAGCAACGCCGCGUGAGUGAAGAAGGUCUUCGGAUCGUAAAACUCUGUUGUUAGAGAAGAACACGAGUGAGAGUAACUGUUCAUUCGAUGACGGUAUCUAACCAGCAAGUCACGGCUAACUACGUGCCAGCAGCCGCGGUAAUACGUAGGUGGCAAGCGUUGUCCGGAUUUAUUGGGCGUAAAGGGAACGCAGGCGGUCUUUUAAGUCUGAUGUGAAAGCCUUCGGCUUAACCGGAGUAGUGCAUUGGAAACUGGAAGACUUGAGUGCAGAAGAGGAGAGUGGAACUCCAUGUGUAGCGGUGAAAUGCGUAGA